rnacentral:rRNA from 1 species
UACGGGGGGAGCAAGCGUUGUUCGGAUUUACUGGGCGUAAAGGGCGCGUAGGCGGCCACCGCAAGUCGGUUGUGAAAUCUCCGGGCUUAACCCGGAACGGUCAAUCGAUACUGCGGGGCUAGAGUGCAGAAGGGGCAACUGGAAUUCUCGGUGUAGCGGUGAAAUGCGUAGAUAUCGAGAGGAACACCUGCGGCGAAGGCGGGUUGCUGGGCUGACACUGACGCUGAGGCGCGAAAGCGUGGGGAGCAAACAGG